rnacentral:SRP_RNA from 1 species
GCUGGGCAUGGUGGUGCAUGCCUGUAAUCCCAGCUACUCAGGAGGCUGAGGCAGGAGAAUUGCUUGAACCUGGGAGGCGGAGGUUGUAGUGAGCCGAGAUUGCACCACUGCACUCCAGCCUGGGUGACAGAGCAAGAUUCUGUCUCAA